ensembl:lncRNA
AUGGUAUUUUAGUCCCUAGCCUGGACUCUCUCUCUCAGGCAGGCAUGCUUCAUCCAAAGGUAGAUAAUGGACUCAGUCAGCUCAGCCUGCAUCCUUUUGUCGGGGCUCUAUUCAUCCUGUGGGAGCAUGUGAGAGCUCCCCCAUUUGGAGAUGUCUCUGUCGCUGCUGACUGCCAAAGUAGAAAGAAAACCAAGUGUCCC